ensembl:miRNA
GGCUGAGCCAAUGGCAACCUCUGUCAACUUGUGUCUGCUCCUGGCAUCUGGCCGCCUGGACUAUUUGCCGGAGCUGGAUCAGCUGGGGUCUGCUGAGGGCGUCAGACAGCA